rnacentral:lncRNA from 1 species
GAUUGAAGAACCGUACACCUAGAACUCCUCAAAGUCUUGCAGAUAUUCCUCCAGAUUAACUUGGUCUGAACAGCGGUUUCACAAGGGUAGGUACACUUAUGGUUGGUACUCAACAAGUCGUGGGGAACAGUGUAGUGUAAGGCCAAUUAAGGUAUGGCUAAGGCUUAAUCAGCAUCAGCUUUUAAUUAAGUUGGUUAAAUUUUAUUAGCAAAUAACUAAGUGUAAGUUUAUA